rnacentral:rRNA from 1 species
CUUACAUGCAGUCGAGCGGUAACAGAAAGUAGCUUGCUACUUUGCUGACGAGCGGCGGACGGGUGAGUAAUGCUUGGGAACAUGCCUUGAGGUGGGGGACAACAGUUGGAAACGACUGCUAAUACCGCAUAAUGUCUACGGACCAAAGGGGGCUUCGGCUCUCGCCUUUAGAUUGGCCCAAGUGGGAUUAGCUAGUUGGUGAGGUAAUGGCUCACCAAGGCGACGAUCCCUAGCUGGUUUGAGAGGAUGAUCAGCCACACUGGGACUGAGACACGGCCCAGACUCCUACGGGAGGCAGCAGUGGGGAAUAUUGCACAAUGGGCGCAAGCCUGAUGCAGCCAUGCCGCGUGUGUGAAGAAGGCCUUCGGGUUGUAAAGCACUUUCAGUCAGGAGGAAAGGUUAACGGUUAAUACCCGUUAGCUGUGACGUUACUGACAGAAGAAGCACCGGCUAACUCCGUGCCAGCAGCCGCGGUAAUACGGAGGGUGCGAGCGUUAAUCGGAAUUACUGGGCGUAAAGCGUACGCAGGCGGUUUGUUAAGCGAGAUGUGAAAGCCCCGGGCUCAACCUGGGAACUGCAUUUCGAACUGGCAAACUANAGUGUGAUAGAGGGUGGUANAAUUUCACGUGUAGCGGUGAAAUGCGUANAGAUCUGAAAGAAUACCGAUGGCCAAGGCAUCCACCUGGGUCAACACUGACNCUCA